rnacentral:rRNA from 1 species
CCUACGGGAGGCAGCAGUGAGGAAUAUUGGUCAAUGGGAGAGAUCCUGAACCAGCCAAGCCGCGUGAGGGAAGACGGCCCUAUGGGUUGUAAACCUCGUUCAGCAGGGAAGAUAUUGACGGUACCUGCAGAAGAAGCUCCGGCUAACUACGUGCCAGCAGCCGCGGUAAUACGUAGGGAGCGAGCGUUAUCCGGAUUCAUUGGGCGUAAAGCGCGCGUAGGCGGCUGCCUAAGCGGAACCUCUAACCCCGGGGCUCAACCUCGGGCCGGGUUCCGAACUGGGCGGCUCGAGUGCGGUAGAGGAGG